ACGCUGGGUAGCUCAGGGGAUACUUCAACUGCGUCACCGGUUAACUAACCUGCUGGUCCACGGGCCAAAGGUUCAAACCCCGGGUGCAGUCCAGCGUUUUA
ensembl:vault_RNA Vault Vault RNA